rnacentral:rRNA from 1 species
AUUGAACGCUGGCGGCAGGCCUAACACAUGCAAGUCGAACGGCAGCACAGUAAGAGCUUGCUAUUACUGGCGACGAGUGGCGGACUGCUGAGGAAUACAUCCGAAUCUACGUUUUCGCGGCGCAUAAGGUAGGGUAACUUACCCUACUACCUCAUACGACCUACGGGUGACAGCAAGGGCUCUUCGGGCCUUGCGCGCUGGAAUGAGCCGAUGUCGGAUUAGCUAGUUGGCGGGGUAAAGGCCCACCAAGGCGACGAUCCGUAGCUGGUCUGAGAGGAUGACCAGCCACACUGGAACUGAGACACGGUCCAGACUCCUACGGGAGGCAGCAGUGGGGAAUAUUGGACAAUGGGCGCAAGCCUGAUCCAGCCAUGCCGCGUGGGUGAAGAAGGCCUUCGGGUUGUAAAGUCCUUUUGUAGGGAAAGAAAGGCAGCAGGUUAAUACCCCGCGGUAAUGACGGUACCGAAAGAAUAAGCACCGGCUAACUACGUG